GACGAACGCUGGCGGCGUGCUUAACACAUGCAAGUCGAACGGGUCUGCCCUGUUUUUUGCGGGGUGUGUCGGUGGCGACCGGGUGAGUAACCCUUGAUUAACCUGCCCCUCACUUCUGGAUAACCCCUUGAAAUGGUGGCUAAUCCGGGUUGUUCUUGCUGUUCCGCAUUGUGUGGCUGGGAAAGAUUCACUUUUGUGGUGUUUUGGUGGCGGAUGGGCUGGCGGCCUAUCAGCUUGUUGGUGGGGUGAUUGCCUGCGAAGGCUUUGGCGGGUAGAAGGCCUGAGAGGGUGGGCGGCCAGACUGGGAGUGAGAUAAGGCCGAGACUCAUGUGGGGGGCAGAAGUGGGGGGUAGUGCACAAUGGGCGGAAGCGUGAUGCAGGGAGGUCGCGGGAGGGAUGGAGGCGUUCGGGUUGUGAACCUCUUUCGGCGGUGAAGAAGGUCCUGCUCUUUGUGGUGGGGUUGACGGUAGACGGGUAAUGAAGCGCCGGCUAACUACGUG
rnacentral:rRNA from 1 species